rnacentral:rRNA from 1 species
UACGGAGGGGGCUAGCGUUGUUCGGAAUGACUGGGCGUAAAGCGCGCGUAGGCGGAUCAGGAAGUUGGGGGUGAAAUCCCGGGGCUCAACCUCGGAAUGGCCUUCAAAACUCCUGGUCUUGAGUUCGAGAGAGGUGAGUGGAAUUCCGAGUGUAGAGGUGAAAUUCGUAGAUAUUCGGAGGAACACCAGUGGCGAAGGCGGCUCACUGGCUCGACACUGACGCUGAGGUGCGAAAGCGUGGGGAGCAAACAGG